CCUACGGGAGGCAUCAGUGGGGAAUAUUGCACAAUGGGGGAAACCCUGAUGCAGCGACGCCGCGUGAGUGAAGAAGUAUUUCUGUAUGUAAAGCUCUAUCAGCAGGGAAGAAAAUGACGGUACCUGACUAAGCAGCCCCGUCUAACUCCGUUCCAGCAGCCGCGGUAAUACGUAGGGGGCAAGCGUUAUCCGGAUUUACUGGGUGUAAAGGGGGCGUAGGUGGCAUGGUAAGCCAGAAGUGAAAACCCGGGGCUCAACCCCGCGGUUUGCUUUUGGAACUAUCAGGCUGGAGUGCUGGCGGGGUAAGCGGAAUGCCUAGUGUAGCGGUGAAAUGCGUAGAUAUUAGGAGGAACACCGGUGGCGAAGGCGGCUUACUGGACAGAAACUGACACUGAGGCUCGAAAGCGUGGGGAGCAAACAGGAUUAGAUACCCUAGUAGUC
rnacentral:rRNA from 1 species